rnacentral:rRNA from 1 species
UACGUAGGGGGCAAGCGUUGUCCGGAAUCAUUGGGCGUAAAGAGCGUGUAGGCGGCUCGAUAAGUCUGCUGUGAAAGUCCAGGGCUCAACCCUGGAAGGCCGGUGGAAACUGUCGGGCUAGAGUCCGGAAGAGGCGAGUGGAAUUCCCGGUGUAGCGGUGAAAUGCGCAGAUAUCGGGAGGAACACCAAUGGCGAAGGCAGCUCGCUGGGACGGUACUGACGCUGAGACGCGAAAGCGUGGGGGGCAAACAGGG